rnacentral:rRNA from 1 species
CCUACGGGAGGCAGCAGUGAGGAAUAUUGGUCAAUGGACGAGAGUCUGAACCAGCCAAGUAGCGUGAAGGAUGACUGCCCUAUGGGUUGUAAACUUCUUUUAUAUGGGAAUAAAAUGUUCCACGUGUGGGAUUUUGUAUGUACCAUAUGAAUAAGGAUCGGCUAACUCCGUGCCAGCAGCCGCGGUAAUACGGAGGAUCCGAGCGUUAGCCGGAUUUAUUGGGUUUAAAGGGAACGUAGGUGGAUUGUUAAGUCAGUUGUGAAAGUUUGCGGCUCAACCGUACAAUUGCAGUUGAAACGGGCAGUCUUGAGUACAGUAGAGGUGGGCAGAAUUCGUGGUGUAGCGGUGAAAUGCUUAGAUAUCACGAAGAACUCCGAUUGCGAAGGCAGUUCACUGGACUGCAACUGACACUGAGGCUCGAAAGUGUGGGUAUCAAACAGGAUUAGAUACCCUUGUAGUC